UGGCAAUAAUAGUCCAAGAGAAGACUGGAUGGUAGCUGAGAAGACAUCAAUGACAGCAGAAUCCACAAUGGGUGAAAAAUGUAUCAAAAGUAGAAAUGAAGAGCAAAGAAUCAAGAAACGCUAAAAUGGUGAUGCUGUUUGGAGACUUUGGUAGGUAAUUUGGAUGGAGCCCUCAUUACUGGGAUUUCUGCCCUUUGAAAAGAGAACAUCAAAGCCAGCUAGUUCCUUCUACCAUGUGAGGACAUAGGAAGAAGGCAUCCUCUCGGAACCAGAAAAUGAAUCUUCACCAAACAUUGAAUCAGCUGAUGUUUUAAUCUUGUACUUUCCAGUUUCCAGAACUAUGGGAAAUAAAUUUCUAUAGUUUAUGAGCAA